GACGAACGCUGGCGGCGUGCUUAACACAUGCAAGUCGAACGAAGCUUGAUUACGGAUUCUUCGGAUGAAGUAUGAUAUGACUGAGUGGCGGACGGGUGAGUAACGCGUGAGUAACCUGCCCUUCAGAGGGGGAUAGCGUUUGGAAACGAACGGUAAUACCGCAUAAUGUAUUUUGACCGCAUGAUCGAAAUACCAAAGAUUUAUCGCUGAAGGAUGGACUCGCGUCUGAUUAGGUAGUUGGUGGGGUAACGGCCUACCAAGCCGACGAUCAGUAGCCGGACUGAGAGGUUGAUCGGCCACAUUGGGACUGAGACACGGCCCAGACUCCUACGGGAGGCAGCAGUGGGGAAUAUUGCACAAUGGGCGCAAGCCUGAUGCAGCAACGCCGCGUGAAGGAAGACGGUUUUCGGAUUGUAAACUUCUGUUCUUAGUGAAGAAUAAUGACGGUAGAUAAGGAGCAAGCCACGGCUAACUACGUG
rnacentral:rRNA from 1 species